rnacentral:rRNA from 1 species
UACGUAGGCAGCAAGCGUUGUUCGGAAUUACUGGGCGUAAAGAGUGUGUAGGCGGUGUUCUAAGUUUGUCGUGAAAUCUCCCGGCUUAACUGGGAGGGUGCGGCGAAAACUGGAAUGCUAGAGGAUGGGAGAGGUAAGCGGAAUUCCUGGUGUAGCGGUGAAAUGCGUAGAUAUCAGGAGGAAUACCUGUGGUGUAGACAGCUUACUGGACCAUUUCUGACGCUGAGACACGAAAGCGUGGGUAGCAAACAGG